rnacentral:rRNA from 1 species
UACGUAGGGUGCAAGCGUUAGUCGGAAUUACUGGGCGUAAAGGGCUCGUAGGCGGCCAACUAAGUCAGACGUGAAAUCCCCAGGCUCAACCUGGGAACUGCGUCUGAUACUGGAUGGCUUGAAUCCGGGAGAGGGAUGCAGAAUUCCAGGUGUAGCGGUGAAAUGCGUAGAUAUCUGGAGGAAUACCGGUGGCGAAGGCGGCAUCCUGGACCGACAUUGACGCUGAUGAGCGAAAGCUAGGGGAGCAAACGGG